rnacentral:rRNA from 1 species
UGGGGGAUAUUGCACAAUGGGGGAAACCCUGAUGCAGCGACGCCGCGUGAGUGAAGAAGUAUUUCGGUAUGUAAAGCUCUAUCAGCAGGGAAGAAGAUGACAGUACCUGAGUAAGAAGCCCCGGCUAACUACGUGCCAGCAGCCGCGGUAAUACGUAGGGGGCAAGCGUUAUCCGGAUUUACUGGGUGUAAAGGGAGCGUAGACGGAUGGAUAAGUCUGAAGUGAAAGCCCGCGGCUCAACUGCGGGACUGCUUUGGAAACUGUGCAUCUUGAGUACGGGAGGGGCAGGCGGAAUUCCUGGUGUAGCGGUGAAAUGCGUAGAUAUCAGGAGGAACACCGGCGGCGAAGGCGGCCUGCUGGACCGAAACUGACGUUGAGGCUCGAAAGCGUGGGGAGCAAACAGG